rnacentral:rRNA from 1 species
ACUCCUACGGGAGGCAGCAGUAGGAAUAUUGGGCAAUGGGCGGAAGCCUGACCAGCCAUGCCGCGUGAAGGAAGACGGCCUUCUGGGUUGUAAACUUCUUUUAUACAGGAAGAAAAGGCCAUGCGUGGCCAAUUGACGGUACUGUAUGAAUAAGCACCGGCUAACUCCGUGCCAGCAGCCGCGGUAAUACGGAGGGUGCAAGCGUUGUCCGGAUUUAUUGGGUUUAAAGGGUGCGUAGGCGGUACGUUAAGUCAGUGGUGAAAUCCCGCAGCUCAACUGCGGAACUGCCAUUGAUACUGGCGUACUUGAGUACAGACGAGGUAGGCGGAAUUUAUGGUGUAGCGGUGAAAUGCAUAGAUACCAUAAAGAACACCGAUAGCGAAGGCAGCUUACUAGACUGUGACUGACGCUCAGGCACGAAAGCGUGGGGAGCGAACAGGAUUAGAUACCCUGGUAGCCUCUGCU